UUGGGAUUUCCAGCGUUUGCGCUUGAAGAAAAAAAACUGAUAUUCAAAGGGAAAAAGAUGGCUUUACAGUGCUCUUGCUCGGUGAAAAUCCGCAGGCGAUGACAGUGGAUUCCGGUGAGGUGGUGGCGGCUUCUUGCGAGCGGCGGCGGUUCCGGUGGCUCUUCUGAUGAACCCGCCUCGUUCUUCUAAUGUUCCUUCACUUCCCCUCUGUUUUUUUUCUUUCUUUUUCUUUCUUUUUCUUUCCCGGAUUCUCCCUCCUUCCCUCUGUUUUUUUUCUUUUUUCAGCUCUGAAGCUCCUUUCCAAAUUUCCCAGGUUCCCCCUUUUCUUCCCCUGU
rnacentral:lncRNA from 1 species